CUCCCCGCCCCCUCCUCCCUAUGGGGCCGCCGCUGAUCAGCUCUCGCUACCGCCGCCGCCGCAGGCUUGUUGUUGACUUUGAGGAAAACUCCUGACGUCAGGGGCUGGCGCACGGCGACUGGCGGGAGCUGUUUCCCCGCGUCCCCAGCCGGCCCGCCGCCUCUGCCCCCUCCCCGCGGGCCCCCGUCCGCGGGCUUCCCCGCGCCCCCAAGCCCGCGGCGGCCCGCGCCCCUUCUCCUCUCGCGAGAACACGCCCCCCCUCCCCCCCCAGCCGAAGCCGGGAGCGGGGCGUCGUUCCUGGGCGGGAAGUUGUGGGUUUUCCCCGCGCCCUCGUGGCGCGCUGCGGGCACCCGAGGCCCGGCAGGGGAGGCUCUUCUGCCUUCCGCGCGCAGCCAGGCCCGGGGCUUUUCCCCCCGCCCGCCGCAGCUCCAAGGAGGUCAAGCCGGGCGCGUGAGGGGCCCGGACCUGAGGCCCCAGAGAUGGGCGGUGCCCUGUGGGGGCGCGCCCCGGAAAGCUUGGAGCCGGGCGGGAACCGACCCCACCCCUCUGCACCUCAGAGUUUUAACAUCAACAUAUUUGUGAGAACCAAAUUUGUCUUAUGAGCCAUACUGCCUCAAAAUAUUUCUCCAUCUCAUCAGAUUGUAUUAAAUCUUAACUGGAUUAAACCCUAAAAUUUAUACUGUACUCUCCUCUUGGGAUGGCUUAUUGGAAAGAUCAUGAACACACUUUGGAGACUUGGAGAUCUGAGUUCAAAUCCUCCCUCUGCAGAAUUGAGGUCUCAGGCAAGUUUCUUAACUUUUCUAAGCUUUAAUUUCCUCAUUUGUGCAACGAUGAUUACAACUACUUCAACAGCUUAUUAUGAGAAUUAAAUGUGAUGAAAUAUUAGAUAGUAUCUAAAACAUAGUGAGCGAUUAGCAAGCUAAAAUUCCUUUACCAUAAACAUGAAUAUAUUUGUUAACACUAGCUGCUACAACAAAUAAAUACAAAAAUCUAUCCUGGCACACAGCAAUAGAAGUGUAUUUCUCAUCCAUGUAAAGUUCAGAAUGGCAGGCAAGUCUCCUCUAGGCAUUUAUAGGAAUAAAGUUUCUUCCAUGUUAGAGUUCUGAUGCAUUCAAUACAUAAUCGCAACAUCAAUCUGGCAGAAAGGGGCAAAACAUGGAGGAUCACUCAAGGAAGGUUUUGUGCACAUCACUUCCAUUCCCAUUCCACUGGCUAGAACACUCCCAAGCCACCAAACUACAAGGCAACCCAUGAAAUGGAGUCUAGCCCAGGAAGAAAAAGAAAUUAGUUUGAUGAACAGCCAGCAGUCUCUGCCACAGUUGGUUUCUGAAAUAACCAUGCUAAGUCUAUAGCUGUAAUUAAUGAAUAUUCUAAAUGAUUAAUAGAGCAAUUUCCAAAAGAACAUAGUUUAAAUCCAGGUAUAAGUAGCAGAAGAGUAAGUUACAAUAGUUAUCGAUACUGUCUUUUCUCUUUUUUACAGCUAUCUUUCUUAAGGUAUAGGUCUGUAUUAGUAACAUGAGAAUACCUGAAGAACAGGUAUGUCACUAAUCUGUUGCCAUGUGCAAAGGGGAUACUUAAAGCUCUCUGGAAACCUCCCUCUUGUUUUAUAUUGGCAGACUUGUUUUCCUGCUGUGUUACUAGAGUGUGAAUGAAAAAUUUUUCAUUCAUAUUGUCAUGUUCUCUCUUAGAUGGCUAAGUCUGUUAGCAACUUAAGCAAUCUCUGGACAUUAUAUUUAGUAUUUCAGAACACUUGGGUCACAGAAAGUUACCACAAUUAAAUAACUGCUCGUGGAGAAUUGACCUAGAAUUCAUGUUCUGAUUCCAAAGCAACAAGCAUACACAUUAUUAUUCGGACUGCGGGUGAAUAGAGGUAUGCAAUAAUACUAAUACCUACAUAUUUUAAUCCCAGAGCCUCAUUUUAGGAUAUAAUUUUAACUUCCUGAGGUGGUGUGCAUUUCCUGUUUCAGAACCUGCUCUGUGAGGACUCAACUUCUUAAUACAACUGCUAGCAGUGAAAUAAUGACAGUAAAUUUCCAACCCUCACCUAGGUAAUUACCUCAACUCCUUCCUCAGUUAUCUCAUGUAAAUUCAGUUCUGUUCCAGAAAGUUUCCCCAUCAAUUUUAAAACACAACUUCUUCUACUAGUGAAGAAGUAAUAAAGUACUAAAAUACUUUCCGAGUCAACUGGAAAGCUUCAGAUCUACACCUGACUUUUUUUUAACCCACUACAAAGUCCUUCAACUGUUGAAUUUGUAAUAUUUCAUUAAAUAGUACUAGUUUGCUUUUUAUAGUAAGAGGAAAUUCAGUAUCAGAAUUUUUCUAUCGACCUUUAGUUCCUAGAUAGAACUAUGGCCACUUUCAGCUGCAAACACUAUCUCAAUCAGAAGUUAGAUUUUAAACAAAACACUGAAUUUGAUUUAGAAUUCAAGCCUUCUUUAGGCUGAAAGCCUGUAUGGGGAAAACAGGCAAACUCAGCUUCUCUAUUUCUCCAUCUCGUUUUCCUCUUACCCCCCACAAGUCAGUCUCUGGAUGAAGGACAAAACAAUUCUUAUCUAGCUGGUAACGUUGUUAUCCAGUUUUGCACUCUCUUGGCCUGACACACAGAACCCCCCAUAGGAUUUACAGGACCCAGUGCAAAACGGAAAUGCUGGGUCCCUUGUUGCAAAAUAAUUAAGAAUUUCAAGACAGCAAAGCAGAGGAUUAAACAAAGUACAGGUCUCUGUGCACAGGUCUGCACAGGUCACUGGCCCAUGAAGCUACUGAUAUGUGUUUAAGGUCGGCUCUCCAGGGUCUCUUUGGAGAGCUGCUUCUGGGCUUCUCUAAUUGCAACCCCUACAAUGUGGGUAAUGCACCUUUCCUUUUAGCUGUCCACUCCUAAUCACCCCUCAGCUCCUGUUUCCUCAGCCCUGUUGUAUCCUCCCUACUGGAGUCCUUUCACCCUCUGGCAGAAGGUCUCCUAGGCAGGACUCAAGAUGGCUCCAGCCAGCUCCUUCUCUCCCAUGGGACUUCACCUGGUCCUUGGGAAAUACUCACACAUCCUUUGCCCUGUAGGCCAUUCUCUCCCUCUUGAUUCUGCCACAGAAACAGUUGGGCAACCUGCUUCCCAGUUUCUACAGAAUCCCUUCAUUGCAGGGAACAAACACAUCCCAAGCUCUCACAAGAUCCCACAGAAGCCCAUGGAAGCCCCCUGGCAUGAGCUGAAGAAGCAUCCUCCAUGCCCUCCCCACUGGAGUUGCUCUUCCUUGCCAUCUAGAGAACGAGAAGAUCAUUGCCUCAGGAAAGAGAUGGCAGAGCAGAUUGAUGAGGAAAGGCUUCCUUUCCUGGCUUUUUAGUUUCAGAAGUCUAGCCCUCAGGGCAAAAUGGAAAUAACUCUAGGGCUUAAAACAGCAGACUUGGGAGAAUAUGUGAUGCCAAGAGCAAGACCUCGCUCACUCGCUCACUCGAUACCACCACCACCACUGGAAAGCUCCUCAGGCUAGCAGUAGGAAGAGGAUAUGGGAGUAGAUGGCUGGGUUUCUGGGGAAGGGCCAGCUUUACCCCCUGCCCUAUGGGGCCAGCCCGAGUGAGAAAAUGAGUAAAUAACCUGGUAACCUUCAAGAUUCCAGAAAAAGAGAAAAGUUGUGUUUCGUUCCUUGUGAGAGCAUGGAUGGAUGGAAGGACCAGAGGUUGACUCUUUCCUGUGGUUAAUGUAGGCAUUCAGCCCCCACAGAACUUCCUGGGACCCAGCAUGACUUGGACAGCAACACAACAAUUCCUGUGUGACCAGGAUUUCUGAGAUUUAGGCAGACAUCUGAGAUCCCCGCGCUCAACUGUGCUGCAGGAUUAGCACUGCAGUUCUAGCACAUCAGCAGAUGACACUGAAGGGACUAAGGGACAGCUCAGUAGCAAAGGGCAAUUGAGAUGACCGACAUCUCAGAGGAUGCCAGUGUGUACAACCAAGACUAAUAGCCCUUUCCCUUCUCGUGAACUGUUACCACGUAAGCCAUUCUCCCCACUGCCUUUGCUCCAGAACCUCAUCACAACCCCAGGCAGAAAGGAAGUUUCUAACCACCCAGCCAAAUGGAGACUCAAUAUUGAAACACUUGAAUUCAGUUCAGUUCUGGAAACACUUGAAGUUGGGAAAUUAAAUUCAUGCCCACCAUAUCUAUUCUAUGAUAUUCAAUUCUUAACCAUCAUUAAAUAGGAAUUGCCAUUCCCACAUUACAAGUGAAGAAAUAGAUUCAGAGAGAUUAAGGAAUUUUUUUAGGCUAGCAAGGGACAAAGCCAGGGCUCACACCAAGGUCUGUUUUACACCAAAGCCAGUCUUCUUUCUACCAGACCACUUUGUAUUUUCAAAAAGUUUGACAGAGGAGAAGAAUAAUAACCAGAAGGGGAUCCAGGGUGAUGAGACUUUUUUUUUUUUUUAAGAAUGAGAGAAAUUAGACAAUAUAAAUGGGGAAAGGAAAAAGAGCUAGUUGAGGGAAAGACAUUGAAAAUGAAGGAAAAGGGAUUAUUUAUCAAGGAAUGAUUCUAAAGGAUAUGGGAGAUAAAUAAAGAUAAAGGGAUAAACCUUGAAUGCAAGGUAGGUACUUCUCCAAGGUAAGAGUGAACGUGGAAAGGAUUUACAUAGAUAGAAAGAGUUUUGUAGACAAGUGUGAAAAUUCUGACAGCAUCAGUGCUUCAUGACAUGAAGGAGGAAGGGCCAAGUGCAAUACCUGUAGGAUGCAUGUAGGAUGCAAACUGAAUCAUAACUUGCAUUUUAGUGCCUUGAACAGAAGGUGGUAUAUGUCAUGCAUUUGAUUGAGUUCCUUCAACACUGUAGUGGCAUUAUGCCCAGAUCUGCAACCCGUCCUUUGAGGACUGAAGCAGACAUUUCUCCAGCUGCUCAGAAUGUUGGUCAUUGACACUUCUUAAUUCCCCUUCCCAGGAAUUGUCCUCUACUGAGAGAGCAGGUUUACCCCAGAUUACAUCCCCUACCCAAUGACUGUUCCAUCUGGGAUGUAAGGUCUAGCCCCUUGCCUCAGUUCAGGAAGCCUAUAGGACCAUCCAUAUCCUCAGACUUCUCUACUGCUCCCCCAUCAUAACACACACACACACACACACACACACACACACACACACACAGAGGAUUAACUGAGGUCUUCGUUGUGAUUGUGCUGCACUUCACCCUCUGCCCAGUCCUGCUUCCUUCACUCCCCCACAGGAAUUCCCCCAAAACUUCCUGCAGGCACUUAACCCAUUCUCAGGUCCCUCUGUAUGGGGGACAUGUCUGCUCCCCCCAUGCCAAAAGAGGCCUACUCUGAAGGUGUGGCUUGGGGUUUUCUGGUACUUGCGUGAAGUUUUAGCAAGCUCACUUGUCUGAAGGCCUAAAUGCACAUUUCCAACUUGUACUAAUGUAAAGCUGCUAUUUCUUUUCCAAUGCCUAUCUUUUGUAUGUAUUUUUCAGUUGGGAUCCAAAUUCACAAGGAGAGAGAGGAAUUAUUUUACUCUCUGAAAACUUGGAAGUGGUAAAGAAACACUUUUUAGUGUUUGGGUAAGAAACAGCAAGAAUGACAAGGAAUGUGAAAAAUAAACAUGAUGUGGAAUCUAAGAUAAAAAAAAUGGUUCCAACAUCUAGAAAAUGUCCAUGAACUCUAGUCCUGUAUACAAAGCAGUUCCUACUGAAGAGAAGGAGUGAAUCACAAAGGGAAUCUACCCAGGCUCCCAGUCAUUAGAUUUAAAUCAUUGUUCCUUAUUCUCCAGAUUUUUGGCUUAAUUCAGAAGAUUUAUAAAGAACCAAGAAUGUUGACUCUGUUACAAAGAAGAACUGCAACAGCUUUUUGCUAAAAUCAGUCUUACCAUUACCUUAACUACAUUUUAUUACCAAAAGAUAAAUAUGCUAAAUGGAUCCACAUAUCAAAACAUCUAUUAUAGGUUUGCAGAAGUGAUGUAAGGAUGACACUAUUUUUAUUAAAGCCUAUUUUAAAAUUACUUUAAUUUGACCCCAUUUUACCCCAAAUUACCCUUUGAGAUAAUUUUUCAGGCUUAGUCCCAAGUUAAGGACAGCUCUGAAACUUUUUCCAUAGCAAGAAAUUAAAUUAGGUAAGAUUUCAUUUGUUUUGAGAAUGAGCAAGAUUCACAAACAUUUACACUUUAGACUGUUUCAAGAGUCAUAUUUUACAGAUUUCACAUUUAAUAUAAUUCUACUUCUGAUAUUCAUUUUUGUUACUCUACAAACUAACCAGAAGUAAUAAGGUUUCAGGAGCUGGAAAGCAUGUAUUUAGCUUUUCUCAUCUGUUUGGGUCAAUGUUAGGAUUUCUAAGGUACCAUGAAUGGUGUAGUUAAUUAUUGAUGAAGUGAAUCCACAAAUUUGUUUGCUGCUUGCCAGUUGUAUUGCUUAUCUAUAAUGCUAUUACCAGUUUCCUCUAAAGCAUGAAGAUUUCCUACAAAAAUGGAAGCUAUACAGUUGUAAUUUUUCACCUUUUAUAAGAUUAUGGGGUGCAGGAAAUGGGGAAACAGAGAGGCCUUCAACUUCUCCAUCUUACGGUAAUAUUCCUUGCCAUCUAUGAGGUGAAGAAUGUAUGAGAUAACAGAAUGGCUCUGCUCUCAGAGGUGAUGAUGGGUUUGCUCUGAGCUAUCAACACUCAUACCUGGGCCUCUUAUGAUCAAUGACACACAAUUUGGAGACGGCUGACUGGGGUUAAUGGUGCAAUCUGUGGCUUUGGAACAGAGUUCUUCUCUAUGUGAAACUAAUUGGCCCAUAUGGGGAUUAAACUGGUAACAGUGUCCUCAUUUGUCAACCCAUCUAUUCAGCAUUUGAAUCUGGUUACAUUUGAGUACUUCCCACAAUUCAACCAAUGUAUUUUCAAAUGAUAAUAUAACCUCAGAAAGAGGAAGAGGUAAUUGUUUAAAAUAUACAAGCUUUUUAUCAACCCAAAUCACUGUAAGAAAGUCAUUAUAAAUUAAAUAAUAAUUAUCCUAUUGCCAAUUAUUCUUAAUUGAAUAUCCCAAGCUGUGGGAAACAGAACAGGAGGUAAGUGUGCUUCUCAUUAAGUAACUUAUUCCAUUGCAAAUGCCAGAAUUACUUUGAAAAUUCCCCAGACAUGACUUCAGAGUACCCUCCUCACUGCCCAGGGACUGCUUAGAGGGUUACCAUCCCAGCAACCCCAGCUCUUUCCCAAAACAUUAGGUUUCAGACUGGGACCUGACCUUUUUCCUCACUUUCUUUUUCUUUGCUUCUAUGCUCAUCAGCUUUAAUCCUGACCCCAGAGUAUUUUUUAUAUCCAUUAACCAAUUACAUGAUUAAUAUGCUGACUUUGCGGGGGAAAAACCACUCUUUGCCACAAAAUAGAGGUCCGGCCUUCUAUAGAGACUUCCAUUCACACUUCAGUUCAAUUGAGGACAUAUCUUGACAAUACAGCAUACUUUUUAGAUCAGCUUAGAUUUUUCUCUCUCAAUAUUCUUUUGAUUAACCUGAUGCCUUUCUCCAAUUCAACUGAUGCUUAGUAUCCAACUAACACAGACAAAAACAAGUCUCAAGUUGUCAAAUUAUGUUAUAGUAGAGCCUGCAGCAUAGUGGAAACAAUAAAGUCAAACUAGUAAAAUAAAACAGAGAGUGGACUUCCCUG